AUUGAACGCUGGCGGCAUGCUUUACACAUGCAAGUCGAACGGCAGCGGGGUAGUGCUUGCACUACUGUCCGGCGAGUGGCGAACGGGUGAGUAAUAUAUCGGAACGUACCGAGUAAUGGGGGAUAACCAAUCGAAAGAUUGGCUAAUACCGCAUACGUCCUAAGGGAGAAAGCGGGGGAUCGCAAGACCUCGCGUUAUUCGAGCGGCCGAUAACUGAUUAGCUAGUUGGUGGGGUAAAGGCCCACCAAGGCGACGAUCAGUAGCGGGUCUGAGAGGACGAUCCGCCACACUGGGACUGAGACACGGCCCAGACUCCUACGGGAGGCAGCAGUGGGGAAUUUUGGACAAUGGGGGCAACCCUGAUCCAGCCAUGCCGCGUGUAUGAAGAAGGCCUUCGGCUUUGUAAAGUACUUUUGUUGGGGAAGAAAAGGGAAAGUGUUAAUACCACUUUUUUGCUGACG
rnacentral:rRNA from 1 species